rnacentral:misc_RNA from 1 species
UAAACGAUGUCAACUAGUUGUUAAAGCCUUCUGGGCCUCGGUAGCGCAGCUAACGCGUGAAGCUGACCGCCUGGGGAGUACGGUCGCAAGAUUAAAACUCAAAGGAAUUGACGGGGACCUGCACAAGCGGUGGAUGAUGUGGAUUAAUCUGAUGCAAACGCGAAAAACCUUACCUACCCUUGACAUGUCUGGAAUCCCGAAGAGAUUUGGGAGUGCUCGCAGUGAGAAAAUCCCCCGGAACACAGGUGCUGCAUGGCUGUCGUCAGCUCGUGUCGUGAGAUGUUGGGUUAAGUCCCGCAAACGAGCGCAACCUUGUCAUUAGUUGCUACGAAAGGGCACUCUAAUGAGACUGCCGGUGACAAACCGAGGAAGGUGGGGAUGACGUCAAGUCCUCAUGGCCCUUAUGGGUAGGGCUUUCACACGUCAUACAAUGGUCGGGACAGAGGGUCGCCAAUCCGCGAGGGGGAGCCAAUCCCAGAAACCCGAUCGUAGUCCGAUCGCAGUCUGCAAGCUGACUGCGUGAAGUCGGAACGCUAGUAAUCGCGGAUCAGCAUGUCGCGGUGAAUACGUUCCCGGGUCUUGUACACACCGCCUGUCACACCAUGGGAGUGGGGUUUUACCAGAAGUAGUUAGCCCAACCGUAAGGAGGGCGAUUACCACGGUAGAUUCAUGACUGGGGUGAGGUCAACAAGGUAG